rnacentral:rRNA from 1 species
UACGAAGGGGGCGAGCGUUGUUCGGAUUUACUGGGCGUAAAGGGCGCGUAGGCGGCGGGUCAAGUCGAGUGUGAAAGCCCCGGGCUCAACCUGGGAAUUGCGCUCGAGACUGGUCUGCUUGAGUUCGGGAGAGGAGAGUGGAAUUCCCAGUGUAGAGGUGAAAUUCGUAGAUAUUGGGAAGAACACCGGUGGCGAAGGCGGCAUCCUGGACCAAUACUGACACUGAGGAGCGAAAGCCAGGGGAGCAAACGGG